UAUCUCUCCGUACGGGGAAGGAUGAGAAGCUUCGACUAAGGUUCGAUUCGAGCGCAGCGAGAAAGCGUUGCCGCAGGCAACGACCCGAAGGGCGAAGCGCGCAGCGCUGAGUCAUCCUUCCCCCACCACUA
rnacentral:sRNA from 5 species